CGGACGGGUGAGUAAUGUCUGGGAAACUGCCUGAUGGAGGGGGAUAACUACUUGAAACGGUAGCUAAUACCGCAUAACGUCGCAAGACCAAAGAGGGGACCUUCGGGCCUCUUGCCAUCAGAUGUGCCCAGAUGGGAUUAGCUAGUAGGUGGGGUAACGGCUCACCUAGGCGACGAUCCCUAGCUGGUCUGAGAGGAUGACCAGCCACACUGGAACUGAGACACGGUCCAG
rnacentral:rRNA from 1 species